GGGGGCGUAGCUCAAUUGGAAGAGCGCUUGAAUGGCAUUCAAGAGGUAGUCGGUCCGAACCCGACCGUCUCCACCA
rnacentral:tRNA from 1 species